UACGUAGGGGGCAAGCGUUGUCCGGAUUUAUUGGGCGUAAAGAGCGUGUAGGCGGCCAGGUAGGUCCGUUGUGAAAACUCGAGGCUCAACCUCGAGACGCCGAUGGAAACCAUCUGGCUAGAGUCCGGAAGAGGAGAGUGGAAUUCCUGGUGUAGCGGUGAAAUGCGCAGAUAUCAGGAAGAACACCGGUGGCGAAGGCGGGUCUCUGGGCUGAUACUGACGCUGAGGAGCGAAAGCGUGGGGAGCGAACAGG
rnacentral:rRNA from 1 species